rnacentral:rRNA from 1 species
CAGUGGCAUCGCCGGGUAGCUAUGUUCGGAAGAGAUAACCGCUGAAAGCAUCUAAGCGGGAAACUCGCCUUAAGAUGAGAUAUCCCUGGGACUAGAUCCCCUUGAAGGGUCGUUCGAGACCAGGACGUUGAUAGGUCGGGUGUGUAAGCGCAGUAAUGCGUUCAGCUAACCGAUACUAAUUGCCCGUAAGGCUUGAUCCUAUAACA